GUGUCAGCAGCCGCGGUAAUACGUAGGUGGCAAGCGUUGUCCGGAAUUACUGGGCGUAAAGGGUGCGCAGGCGGACAUUUAAGUGAGAUGUGAAAUACCCGGGCUUAACCCGGGCAGUGCAUUUCAAACUGGGUGUCUGGAGUGCAGGAGAGGAGAACGGAAUUCCUAGUGUAGCGGGGACAUGCGUAGGGAUUAGGAAAAACACCAGUGGCGAAGGCGGUUUUCUGGACUGUAAAUGA
rnacentral:rRNA from 1 species